rnacentral:rRNA from 1 species
AUUGAACGCUGGCGGCAUGCCUAACACAUGCAAGUCGAACGGCAGCACAGCAGUAGCAAUACUGUGGGUGGCGAGUGGCGGACGGGUGAGGAAUACGUCGGAAUCUGCCCAGUCGUGGGGAUAACUAGCCGAAAGGUUAGCUAAUACCGCAUACGACCGAGAGGUGAAAGCGGGGACCGCAAGGCCUCGCGCGAUUGGAUGAGCCGACGUCGGAUUAGCUAGUUGGCGGGUAAAGGCCCACCAAGGCGACGAUCCGUAGCUGGUCUGAGAGGAUGAUCAGCCACACUGGAACUGAGACACGGUCCAGACUCCUACGGGAGGCAGCAGUGGGGAAUAUUGGACAAUGGGCGCAAGCCUGAUCCAGCAAUGCCGCGUGUGUGAAGAAGGCC